UCGAGAAAAUCUUUUUUAGAUAAAUAUACCCUUGAAAUUCAAAUACUAAUCCAUAUACCUAAAUUAUCUAAUCCCUCUUCCUUUUAACUAACCUCCAAUCAAAACCGUCUCCCUUCAAUCAAGCGAAGCUCAACGAAGAAGCAGCAGCAGCAGCAACAGAGGGAAAUCUCUACCCCUCUCCAACUUUCCAACAAUGUCAACGCUAGAGAUCGAAGCUCGAGACGUUAUAAAGAUUGUCCUCCAAUUUUGUAAAGAGAAACCCCUGCACCAAACGUUCCAAACCCUGCAGAACGAGUGUCAGGUGUCCCUCAACACCGUCGAUAGCCUCGAGACGUCGUCUCCGAUAUCAACAGCGGGAGAUGGGAUGCUAUCUUGCCUCAGGUUUCUCAGCUCAAGCUCCCGAGAAAGAAAGUGGAGGAUCUCUAUGAACAGAUAGUGUUGGGAAUGAUAGAGCUUCGUGAGUUGGAUACUGCACGGGCGACAUUGAGGCAGACGCAGGCGAAGGGUGUGAUGAAACAGGAGCAGCCUGAGAGAUAUUUGCGGCUUGAGCACCUCUUAGUUCGGACUUAUUUCGAUCCCAAUGAGGCAUAUCAAGAGUCUACUAAGGAGAAGCGCCGGGCACAGAUUGCUUAAAUUUUGCUCAUAAUUGUGCUGACACUUUUAAACCAGAUUUCGACUAUAACUAAGAUUGAUAAUGUUUCUUUUAUGCAAUGAUUACUUCUUUGAAGCGUCAA